rnacentral:rRNA from 1 species
ACGGCUCACUAACACUUGGAUAACCUGCCCUUGGGUCCGGCAUAACUCCGAGAAACUGGASAUAAUUCCGGAUAAGGCAUAUGUGCUGGAAUGCUUUAUGCGUAAAAUGGAUUCGUCUGCCCAAGGAUGGGUCUGCGGCCUAUCAAGUAGUACUGGGUGUAAUGUACCUACUACCCUACUACGGGUACRGGUUGUGAGAGCAAGAGCCCGGAGAUGGAUUCUGAGACAUGAAUCCAGGCCCUACGGGGCGCACCAGGCGCGAAAACUUUACAAUGCGGGAAACCGUGAUAAGGGGACACCGAGUGCCAGCAUCAUAUGCUGGCUGUCCAGGUGUGUAAAAUACACCUGUUAGCAAGGGCCGGGCAAGACCGGUGCCAGCUGCCGCGGUAACACCGGCGGCCCGAGUGGUGAUCGUGAUUAUUGGGUCUAAAGGGUCCGUAGCCGGUUUGGUCAGUCCUCCGGGAAAUCUGAUAGCUCAACUAUUAGGCUUUCGGAGGAUACUGCCAGACUUGGAACCGGGAGAGGUAAGAGGUACUACAGGGGUAGGAGUGAAAUCUUGUAAUCCCUGUGGGACCACCUGUGUCGAAGGCGUCUUACCAGAACGGGUUCGACGGUGAGGGACGAAAGCUGGGGGCACGAACCGGAUUAGAUACCCGGGUAGUCCCACCCGUAAACGAUGCUCGAUAGGUGUCAGGCAUGGCGCCACCGUGUCUGGUGCCGCAGGGAAGCCGUGAAGCGAGCCACCUGGGAAGUACGGCCGCAAGGCUGAAAGUUAAAGGAAUUGGCGGGGGACCAC